UAGGGACUUCAAAGCACCUUGCACAUGUCAGGCCUUCCCACCGACCUGUUACAUUUGGCCCACGAGACUGAUCCUGAUAAGGAUCUGGCCCAUGGAGCCAAAAAGUUGCCCACCCCAAUUUACAGAAAACAAGGCUUGAAAAUGCAACAUUAUGCUGAUGACUCAGCUCUUGCAAUAAACACCAGAAAUUCCUAGGAAGUGCUAUGAAAGAUAAUUGGGCAAAUCUUCCAUUAUCAUGGUUGGGGGAAAAUUUGUUUUGACCAAUAUGGAUGUAUACCAAAAAAUAUUGUUUCUCUGUAUGAAUAGACAUGAUUGUAGAGGCCUGACUGAAUAAUUUUAGAGUGGUGGCAGGAAACCAUUUGGAAAAUUUGGAAUGGAGAACCAAGACUGACUGAAAAAGCUUUGUUCAUUUCUAAAUGCCAUGGCGGGAUUGGAUUACUGGUUUUUAAACUACUAUAUUAUUAUGCUUAAAAAUUAGUGGUAAUAGAAGAUUGGUUCACAUGGGACAAAACAACUUGCUGAAAACAAGAUGGAGUUAAUAUAUCAUGGACCGUUUGCAACUGGAGAGGUAGCUUAAUGCAAGGGUUUCUGUUUGUGCAACAGAACUUUUCUUCUGUGUUCCUUCUCCCAAAUCUGCUCUGAAGGAUUGGGGAUUUGGAGAGCAUGCUGUGGGGGUGGCAGGGUGGAGAAGCAAAUUCCUUGGGGGAAGCCAUGACUUAUAAUGUUACAAUACGAGUUUAAAUGUAUAGUGUUGAUGGGGUGUUUGAUAUUCUUUAAAUGCCAAACAAAUGCCUUCUUCUCCCCCAGCAUUCCAGCAUGUUGUGUAGUUGCUUUUAGUUGUGUCUGAUGGGUUCUGAUGGAUUUUACAUUAUUGGCUGGUGGUGGCUGCAGCUUUAUUGAUUUGCUUUGUGCCUGGUCUUUACGUGUGUUUUUAUAAUUUUAAAAGUUUGUCAGCCUAGAAGCAUUAUGCCAAAGGUCAGCUUAUAUAUUUACAGCAAUCAAUCAAUAAGCAAAUAAAUGCAUCUUAGAAAAAUUAAUAGUAGCUCUCAAAAUAAUGGGACAUGCAUAGAAAUCUUCAGAUUUGGAAAAAAAGCAGCUUGAAAACUGUAUCCAGACAUAUCACCAUCAUGGUUUAAUUGUUUUUUUCAUUUUAUAUUUCCUGUUGCUUAGAAAGAAAUAGGAUUCUACCAAGAGGCUGGUGCUGUACAAAUAAGUCAUGUUUCUGUGAACUGCAUAUUUCCAAACCCCAUCUUAGAGGCUGACUCAGUGGUGUAGCGUGGGGGGUGCAGGGGAGGCCGGCCGCACCGGGCGCAACAUCUGGGGGGGGGCGCGCUCGCACUCGCAGCUCUCUGCCCCUACCUGGCUCACUCACUCUCUCUCACUGCAGUGCUGGCUGUGCGAAUCCGAUCUGAGCCGCUGGGUCGCCGCUCACUGUGGAGGGGGUGGGUGCCAGGCGUGCGGUGCAGAGAGAGAGCGAGGGACUAUCUGGGGGAGGGACAGUGCAGUGGCUGCCCAGCGCAGCGCUGAGCGCGGGAGAGAACCACACCAGACCAGACCAGGCAGCAGCAAGAAGAAGCUGGCAGCGGCGGCAGGUUAGGGGUUAGGGGGCGCAAAUUACUUGCCUUGCCCCGGGUUAGGGGGCACAAAUUACUUGCCUUGCCCCGGGUUAGGGGGCGCAAAUUACUUGCCUUGCCCCAGGUGCUGACAACCCACGCUAUGCCGCUGGGCUGACUGAUACCAUAAAGAAAAUGGCAAAUCCAGGUUAUUUGGGGAAAGGGGUUGGUAAAGUGAGAAAUAUGAUUUGGAGGGAGCUGGGAGGUGAGGUCUAAGAAGUGGAAAGUGGUAAAUGAUUUGCAGCAAUGUCUUGGCUCCAGGCGUGGAGCUGGCUUUAUGUCUCCGAAUAAGGUCACAUCCAUUUUGUACGAUUAAAUUUAACCUGAUUGAAUAAUAUCAGAGGUGGUUUGUUUGUUUGUUUGUUUGUUUGUUUGUUUGUUUGUUUGCAGAAACUAACAUGGAAAGUUUCUGAGGUCUACAGAAAAGUAACAAGAAAAUUAUGUCUGUUCCAACAGUAAAAAUUCCUGAAAUAGGGACUCGCCUCAGAAACCAUGAUCCUCAACAAAGUGGUUCUAUACAUCCCCCCCCCCCAAAAAGGCCUGUAGAUAGAUAUCUAUCCUGUAGAUAGGGAGAGAACCACUUGUCACAAAGCAGAUGAGUCAAAGAAAUUGUAUUCAGGCAUGAACCGUGAUGCACCAGUAGUCAUAAUACUAUUCCAAAUCCUAGUCAAUAAUGUUUUUUUCAGGACAGAGAUUGAUUUUAUUAUUACUAGCUUUUAAGAUGCAAUGGCCGGGGGGAGUUCCUCGAGACAAACUGUCACCAUGUAAUUAAAUGAUGUACAGGGGGUAUAAUGAAAUAUCUUAUUAAUGCCAUUAUCUGUUAUUGCAGCACAGCAUGUAUCUCAUAAAUCUUUGUAAUUAUUCUAAUGCAGCAGUUUCUCCCCACCUGAACUAUGAUUAUCUGCAGUUCCUGAUUAGCCAGAUUUUCUUGUGAGAUUCCCUGUGUCAGAAUAACUCUUAAUUAAGCUGUACCCUCAUUCAUUUUGACUUCUAAUUAUCUAAAUGUUCUGGCCUUCUUCUAAGUCGCCAAGGUCAAUGAUAUUAGACUGUGUGUGAUUCUUAAGAGAGCAUUCUCUGGCGGUUUAUGCCGUUCUGCUCUGUUAGUAGCCACUGGCCAUGCUUUUUAAAGGCCAUUAACAAAACCAUAAAUAGGACAAUAUUAAGCAAAUGGUGUGUGUGUGUGUGUGUGUGUGUGUGUGAGAGAGAGAGAGAGAGAGAGAGAGAGGGAGAGAGAGAUACAGUUCAUUAAAGGCUUUAGGAUUAGGCAGAGUUAUCUCAGUUUGAUUAUCCAGUCAAACUGGAGCUCAACUCUGCCUCCCCAACCCCUUUUAAUUCUCAUUUAAUGUAGACAGUAGCUGAGAUGCAGUGUUGGGCAAAACAUCUUCAUCUUAAUUAAACUGUUUCUGGGUCUUUUGUUAGCCUUUUUGGAGAAUUCCCAGAAAAAGCUCAGGGGGUUUCCUUCCUCUAGUCACCAGCCCACCUGUUUGGAAAUGUAGGAAAGAUGGGAUGAAGGAGAAGAGAAAGGCUGGUAGACGAGAGGGCUGACAUUAGGUAAUCACAAGCGGAGGCCAUCUUUAAAAGUAUGAGGAUAGCUUGGCUUGGGAUGGUUCAGGGAAAUCCUGUCUGAGUUAAUUUCACAACCCCAUUUCCAAAAUUCUUCUCCAUUCCUACUUAACCAGGAAGCUUUAAGCCAGUCACAGCCCAACCCUAUCCAUGCUUACUCUGAAGCAAAUCCCAGUGAUUUAAAUGGGAUUUACUCCCCAAUAAGUGUGCAUUGGAUUACAGUCUUUACUCUCUCUUAGUCUCAGAUGCCCACCUGUACCAUGGGAGGAUACUGGUCUACCUAACAAAAUUAUUAUCAGGAUGACUGAGAUAAUGUUACCUAAAACACCCUGAACACUAUAUACGUGGAAAUAAUUAGUAACGCCCACUACCACUGGCUUUUAUGAAAUUAACAAUGGGCAGUAUGUUCUUAGCUUUCGGGCUUGGGUCUGUAUAGCUCAAAGCCCAUUAUUUUCUUAGCAUUCAGUAACUAAGCAUUAGCUUCUUGAACCCCAACUAGAUGUGUGCUAGGGCAAUAGAUUGCUGUCAGUCUUUCCUCCCAGUAAGGAUUUCAGUUCCAUAUGCCCCCCGCUUACCCCAACAGAAAUAGGCUUCUUUUCAUUUAGAUAGCAUCACUGAACUGAGUCGUUAAAACAUGUUUUCUGUUUGCAGCCAGAAUGAAUUCAUGUCAUGCUGAGAAAAUAAAUCAGACAGAAGAAAGAGUUCUAAGACACCCAGCAAAGCUGUUGU